UGGGGAAUAUUGCACAAUGGAGGGAACUCUGAUGCAGCGACGCCGCGUGAGUGAUGAAGGAAUUCGUUUCGUAAAACUCUGUUCUAUGGGAAGAAAAGGACUGUACCAUAGGAGAAAGCUCCGGCUAAAUACGUGCCAGCAGCCGCGGUAAUACGUAUGGAGCGAGCGUUGUCCGGAAUUAUUGGGCGUAAAGGGUGCGCAGGCGGCUUUACAAGUUGGAUGUGAAAUAUUGUGGCUCAACCACAAACGUGCAUCCAAAACUGCAACGCUUGAGUUAAGGAGAGGUAAGUGGAAUUCCUGGUGUAGCGGUGGAAUGCGUAGAUAUCAGGAGGAAUACCGGUGGCGAAGGCGACUUACUGGACUUAAACUGACGCUCAGGCACGAAAGCGUGGGGAGCAAACAGG
rnacentral:rRNA from 1 species